GAGUUUUCCUGUGGAGACAGGGCCUUACGUGAUCUUGUGUCUUUCGUUCAUGAGAAAACAAUCGAUAGUGACAGAAAGCAUCGAUGAUUUUCGGGUAACAUAUUUUUACUAGGUUUCAUAAAAUCUAGUAUUUAUUUAAUAAGUUCCUUGUUCUGCAUCAAUGGAACAAUCGACACAGCAAGCACAGCAACAUCCCUUGGCAAACUACCAGUUUUCUUCAGAGGAGCUUAAAGUUUUAAGAGAGUGUAAUACAGAAUCCUUCUUCCAACGUUCUUUGCCAUUAAGUACUGCUUUAGGGGUGGGCGCUUACUUGGCAGUAAAAAGUGGGUACUUGCAAGUAAGUAUCUAGUUUUAAAGCCAACGGGUGUCUUACACCCCUAUGCUGUAAUCCGAAUGUUCGUAGUUACGAAUUCGUUGCUCCGUUCCGAAAAUUCGAAUGCUGUACAGCGUGGCGUGUAUAACUUAACCCAGUUUUGUUUUAGAAAUAAAAGGGUGCUUUAUAGAUUUUACGAAAAAAAGUAUUUAAUUUUUAA